GAGCGAACGCUGGCGGCAGGCCUAACACAUGCAAGUCGAACGAACUCUUCGGAGUUAGUGGCGGACGGGUGAGUAACACGUGGGAACGUGCCUUUUGGUUCGGAAUAACUCAGGGAAACUUGUGCUAAUACCGAAUGUGCCCUUCGGGGGAAAGAUUUAUCGCCAUUAGAGCGGCCCGCGUCUGAUUAGCUAGUUGGUGAGGUAGCGGCUCACCAAGGCGACGAUCAGUAGCUGGUCUGAGAGGAUGACCAGCCACACUGGGACUGAGACACGGCCCAGACUCCUACGGGAGGCAGCAGUGGGGAAUCUUGCGCAAUGGGCGAAAGCCUGACGCAGCCAUGCCGCGUGAAUGAUGAAGGUCUUAGGAUUGUAAAAUUCUUUCACCGGGGACGAUAAUGACGGUACCCGGAGAAGAAGCCCCGGCUAACUUCGUG
rnacentral:rRNA from 1 species